GGGAACUGCAACAAUCACAGCCAGCCAGGCCCACAAGCAUCUUUCCUGAGACAAAGACUUGUCUUUUGCAGAACAUAUUUCUGUAGCUUCCUGCCACCUCCUUCCCUUGUUUGGUCAUCCCAGCUCUCAAUUCACUCCCUUUAACUGAAAGCGGGAUUUUGGAGAUGAGCCUCACGCCGGACUGCACACUCUCCUUGGCCCCUGACCUCUGUCACUUUGGCAC